rnacentral:rRNA from 1 species
AACGAACGCUGGCGGCACGCUUCAAACAUGCCCUUCGAGCGGGAUCUUCGGAUCUAGCGGCGGACGGGUUAGCAACGCGGGGGAACGUACCCAGAUCUACGGAAUAGCCUCGGGAAACUGAGAGUAAUACCGUAUACGCCCUUCGGGGGAAAGAUUUAUCGGAUUUGGAUCGGCCCGCGCAAGAUUAGAUAGUUGGAGGGGAAAUGGCCUACCAAGUCUACGAUCUUUAGCUGGUUUGAGAGGAUGAUCAGCAACACUGGGACUGAGACACGGCCCAGACUCCUACGGGAGGCAGCAGUGGGGAAUCUUAGACAAUGGGCGCAAGCCUGAUCUAGCGAUGCUGCGUGAGUGAUGAAGGCCUUAGGGCCGUAAAGCUCUUUCGCCUGUGAAGAUAAUGACGGUAGCAGGUAAAGAAACCCCGGCUAACUCCGUGCCAGCAGCCGCGGUAAUACGGAGGGGGUUAGCGCUGUUCGAAAUUACUGGCCGUAAAGCCCACGUAGCCGGACUAGUCAGCCAGAGGUGAAAUCCCAGGGCUCAUCCCUGGAACUGCCUUUGAUACUGCUAGUCUUGAUUUCGAGAGAGGUAAGUGGAAUUCCGAGCGUAGAGGGUGAAAUUCGUAGAUAUUCGGAGGAACACCAGUGGCGAAGGCGGCUUACUGUCUCGAUACUGACGUUGAGGUGCGAAAAGUGUGGGGGAGCAAACAGGAUUAGAUACCCUGGUAGCCCACCCCGUAAACGAUGAAUGCCAGACGGCGGGGAGCAUGCUAUUCGGGGUCACACCUAACGGAAUAA